rnacentral:rRNA from 1 species
GAUCCUGGCUCAGGAUGAACGCUGACAGAAUGCUUAACACAUGCAAGUCUACUUAAACUUCGGUUUGGGUGGCGGACGGGUGAGUAACGCGUAAAGAACUUGCCUCACAGUUAGGGACAACAUUUGGAAACGAAUGCUAAUACCUGAUAUUAUGAUUUUAGGGCAUCCUAGGAUUAUGAAAGCUAUAUGCGCUGUGAGAGAGCUUUGCGUCCCAUUAGCUAGUUGGAGAGGUAACGG